AUCAUCGUGGGGGUCGGCC
rnacentral:miRNA from 1 species